rnacentral:rRNA from 1 species
CCCUUAGAUGUUCUCGGCCGCACACGCGCUACACUGAAAGAGGCAACGUGUUUGCCUGAUUCGAAAGAAUUGGGUAACCCCCUAAUCUCUUUCGUGCUGGGGAUUGAGGUUUGCAAUUAUCCUUCAUGAACGAGGAAUUCCCAGUAAGUGCGAGUCAUUAUCUCGCGCUGACUACGUCCCUGCCCUUUGUACACACCGCCCGUCGCUACUACUGAUUGAAUGAUUUAGUGAGGACUUCGGACUGAGUCCAAUGCGGCUUUCGGGCUGCGUUGGUAUUUCGGAAAGAUGUCCAAACUGUAUCAUUUAGAGGAAGUAAAAGUCGUAACA